rnacentral:tRNA from 1 species
GGUUAUAGCUCAGCGGUAGAGCACUUGCCUCGCACAUAUGAGGUACUGGGUUCCAUCCUCUGCACCA